CGUAGGGUGCGAGCGUUAAUCGGAAUUACUGGGCGUAAAGCGUGCGCAGGCGGUUUUGUAAGACAGAUGUGAAAUCCCCGGGCUCAACCUGGGACCUGCAUUUGUGACUGCAAGGCUAGAGUACGGUAGAGGGGGAUGGAAUUCCGCGUGUAGCAGUGAAAUGCGUAGAUAUGCGGAGGAACACCGAUGGCGAAGGCAAUCCCCUGGACCUGUACUGACGCUCAUGCACGAAAGCGUGGGGAGCAAACAGGAUUAGAUACCCUGGUAGUCCACGCCCUAAACGAUGUCAACUGGUUGUUGGGUCUUUACUGACUCAGUAACGAAGCUAACGCGUGAAGUUGACCGCCUGGGGAGUACGGGCCGCAAGGUUGA
rnacentral:rRNA from 1 species